rnacentral:rRNA from 1 species
AUUCGCGGCCUAUCAGCUUGUUGGUGAGGUAGUGGCUUACCAAGGCGACGACGGGUAGCCGGCCUGAGAGGGUGACCGGCCACACUGGGACUGAGACACGGCCCAGACUCCUACGGGAGGCAGCAGUGGGGAAUAUUGCACAAUGGGCGCAAGCCUGAUGCAGCGACGCCGCGUGAGGGAUGAAGGCCUUCGGGUUGUAAACCUCUUUCGUCAGGGAAGAAGCGAAAGUGACGGUACCUGAAGAAGAAGCACCGGCUAACUACGUGCCAGCAGCCGCGGUAAUACGUAGGGUGCGAGCGUUGUCCGGAAUUAUUGGGCGUAAAGAGCUUGUAGGCGGCUUGUCGCGUCUGCCGUGAAAACCUAGGGCUUAACUCUGGGCGUGCGGUGGGUACGGGCAGGCUAGAGUGUGGUAGGGGAGACUGGAAUUCCUGGUGUAGCGGUGAAAUGCGCAGAUAUCAGGAGGAACACCGAUGGCGAAGGCAGGUCUCUGGGCCAUAACUGACGCUGAGAAGCGAAAGCAUGGGGAGCGAACAGGAUUAGAUACCCUGGUAGUCCAUGCCGUAAACGUUGGGCGCUAGGUGUGGGGCUCAUUCCACGAGUUCUGUGCCGCAGCUAACGCAUUAA